GUUCUUCUAUUCAUGCAAUUGAUAUCAAACAUUUUGAUAAACAGUUUGAUAUUUACUUCUUUCAUUUUCGCUUAAAUAUGGAGGGAUCCAUUAGUAUCGCAGAGGGAGCUAAUAGCAUACAAUUGAUGUUUCAUUUUAUAUUUUAAAAAUUAUCUACUGUAUGUGCAAGAGUGUCACCCCUAACUCUAGUUGGUGAUUAUAAUAUUGGCU
rnacentral:lncRNA from 1 species